rnacentral:rRNA from 1 species
UACGAAGGGUGCAAGCGUUAUCCGGAUUCAUUGGGUUUAAAGGGCGCGUAGGCGGACUUGUAAGUCAGUGGUGAAAUCUGUGGGCUUAACCCACAAACUGCCAUUGAUACUGCAGGUCUAGAGUACAGUUGCCGUUGGCGGAAUAUGACAUGUAGUGGUGAAAUACUUAGAUGUGUCAUAGAACACCGAUUGCGAAGGCAGCUAACGAAGCUGUAACUGACGCUGAGGCUCGAAAGUGCGGGGAUCAAACAGG